rnacentral:rRNA from 1 species
UACAGAGGUCUCAAGCGUUGUUCGGAUUCAUUGGGCGUAAAGGGUGCGUAGGCGGCGCGGUAAGUCGGGUGUGAAAUCUUGGAGCUUAACUCCGAAACUGCAUUCGAUACUGCCGUGCUUGAGGACUGGAGAGGAGACUGGAAUUCCUGGUGUAGCGGUGAAAUGCGCAGAUAUCAAGAGGAACACCUGAGGUGAAGACGGGUUGCUGGGCCAACACUGACGCUGAGGCGCGAAAGCCAGGGGAGCAAACGGG